GACGAACGCUGGCGGCGUGCUUAACACAUGCAAGUCGAACGGAAAGGCCUCUUUCGGGGGGUACUCGAGUGGCGAACGGGUGAGUAACACGGGAGUAACCUGCCCUUGACUUUGGGAUAACUUCAGGAAACUGGGGCUAAUACCGGAUAGGAGCUCCUGCUGCAUGGGGGGGGUUGGAAAGUGUCGGCGGGUGGGGAUGGACUCGCGGCUUAUCAGCUUGUUGGUGGGGUAGUGGCUUACCAAGGCUUUGACGGGUAGCCGGCCUGUGAGGGUGACCGGCCACAUUGGGACUGAGACACGGCCCAGACUCCUACGGGAGGCAGCAGGGGGGAAUAUUGCACAAUGGGUGGAAGCCUGAUGCAGCAACGCCGGGUGCGGGAUGACGGCCUUCGGGUUGUAAACCGCUUUCGCUCAUGACGAAGCUUUGUGUGACGGUAGUGGGUAAAGAAGCACCGGCUAACUACGUG
rnacentral:rRNA from 1 species